rnacentral:rRNA from 1 species
GUGCGGAACGCGUAUGGAACCUACCUCAAUCAGGGGGAUAGCCCAGGGAAACUUGGAUUAAUACCCCAUAGUAUUGUUUUAUUGCAUGAUAGAACAAUUAAAACUUCGGUGGAUUGAGAUGGCCACGCGUAUCAUUAGCUAGUUGGUAAGGUAACGGCUUACCAAGGCAACGAUGAUUAGGGGCCCUGAGAGGGGGAUCCCCCACACUGGUACUGAGACACGGACCAGACUCCUACGGGAGGCAGCAGUGAGGAAUAUUGGACAAUGGUCGAAAGACUGAUCCAGCCAUGCCGCGUGCAGGAUGACUGCCCUAUGGGUUGUAAACUGCUUUUGUACGAGAAGAACACCCUCUUCGUGAAGAGGACUGACGGUAUCGUACGAAUAAGGACCGGCUAACUCCGUGCCAGCAGCCGCGGUAAUACGGAGGGUCCGAGCGUUAUCCGGAAUCAUUGGGUUUAAAGGGUCCGUAGGCGGGCUAUUAAGUCAGAGGUGAAAUUGUGCAGCUCAACUGUAGAACUGCCUUUGAUACUGAUAGUCUUGAGUUAUGGUGAGGUAGCCGGAACAUGUGGUGUAGCGGUGAAAUGCAUAGAUAUCACAUAGAACGCCGAUUGCGAAGGCAGGUUACCAACCAUAUACUGACGCUGAUGGACGAAAGCGUGGGGAGCGAACGGGAUUAGAUACCCCGGUAGUCCACGCCGUAAACGAUGGAUACUAGCUGUUGGGUUUUCGGACUCAGCGGCCAAGCGAAAGUGAUAAGUAUCCCACCUGGGGAGUACGUUCGCAAGAAUGAAACUCAAAGGAAUUGACGGGGGCCCGCACAAGCGGUG